rnacentral:rRNA from 1 species
GAUGAACGCUAGCGGCAGGCCUAAUACAUGCAAGUCGAGGGGCAGCGCGGUAGCAAUACUGGCGGCGACCGGCGCACGGGUGCGUAACACGUAUGCAACCUACCUUCAACUGGAGGAUAGCCCGGGGAAACUCGGAUUAAUACUCCAUAAUACAGGGAUCCCGCAUGGGAAUAUUGUUAAAGCUACGGCGGUUGAAGAUGGGCAUGCGUUCGAUUAGCUAGUUGGUGUAGGUAACGGCUCACCAAGGCUACGAUCGAUAGGGGGGCUGAGAGGAUGAUCCCCCACACUGGUACUGAGAUACGGACCAGACUCCUACGGGAGGCAGCAGUAGGGAAUAUUGGUCAAUGGGCGCAAGCCUGAACCAGCCAUGCCGCGUGCAGGAAGAAGGCCCUCUGGGUUGUAAACUGCUUUUGAUAGGGAACAAAUGCCACUUGCGAGUGGAGCUGAGUGUACCUAUAGAAUAAGCACCGGCUAACUCCGUGCCAGCCGCCGC